rnacentral:misc_RNA from 1 species
GUGAAUCAUCAAAUUUUUGAACGCAAAUUGCACUCUCUUCGGAGAGUAUGCCUGUUUGAGGGUCAGCCUAAAAAAAAUCGACAUAGUCGCUGUUUUUCGUUGACAUUCGUCGGAAAUUGGGUCAUCUUAUACCUUUGGGUUUUAAGAGGCGUAAAAUUUUCUUUACGAUUGCACCAACGUUUCUAAUAUUUACUUCUUAUACGUUUAAGGUAUCGAUCUUUAUUAGAUGUGUACGUUGCAUCGUUUCUCGUCCAUAAUU